UCAAAACGCAACCGUAUAUGGUUUUAAAUUAAUUUGACACGCACGCACUCCAGGCAACUCAACUCAACUCGCAAUUUCCUUCCAAACGCACGCAAAGCAAACCCUUCCUCUCUUUCUGGUUGUUUUCUUUAUGAGUGCAUGGCAAUUUGGGGGUUUUCUUUGGAAUUAGGGCAUAUACUUGCUGUGUUGAUCCUCUCAAUCUGAAACAGUGGAGAAGAUGUAAUCCUACCGAGAUUGUCGUUCGCGCACUCGUUGAUCGGUUGAUUGAUUGAUUAAUUGAUAGAGAAGUGGUAACUGUAACUGUAAGUGUGUGUAGUGAGGAUAGGGUUUUGGCAUGAAGGGUGCGUUGGAUCGGACGAAGGUGGUGCUGCGUCACUUGCCGCCCUCUCUUUCUGAGGCCGCGCUUUUGGCCCAAAUUGAUGCCGCCUUCGCUGACCGCUACAACUGGCUCUCUUUCCGUCCUGGCAAAAUCAGUAGUCAAUUGACCGUGCCUAGGCUUGGCCAGGCUAGGCUAGGCCAGAAGCAUAUAUCAUAUUCUAGAGCCUACAUUGACUUCAAGAGGCCAGAUGACGUUAUACUGUUUGCGGAGUUCUUUAAUGGACACGUCUUUGUGAAUGAAAAGGGAUCUCAGUUCAAAGUUAUUGUUGAAUAUGCUCCUUCCCAACGCGUUCCAAGACAGUGGUCUAAAAAGGAUGGUCGUGAUGGGACCAUAUAUAAAGAUUCUGAGUAUAUGGAGUUUCUUGAACUACUUUCCAAGCCUGUUGAGAAUCUUCCCAGCGCUGAGAUACAAUUGGAGAAGAGAGAAGCAGAACGAUCUGGUGCUGCAAAAGAUAUUCCUAUAAGUACACCACUGAUGGAUUUUGUGCGCCAGAAAAGAGCUGCCAAGGGACCUCGGAGGUCGUUAUCCAAUGGCAAAGUGAGUAGAAGAGGCACUUCAUCAAAUGGGAGUCCUAGUUCUGGCACAUCAAGACGAGGUUCCGGAAAGAAGAGGGUUUCUGCUACUAUGUAUGUUGCCAGGCACCCAGGGAAAAAUGCUACUAUGAAAGACAGAUCAAUUUAUACUUUGGUUCCUAGCCAAGGUGAUCAGCAUAUUUCAAGUAAAGCUUCAAAUAUGGCCUCUUCAGAUGGAAAACAAACCCUUGAUGAGAAUGGAGUUUCUGGAAAUAAUGAUGCUGGAAAAAAAAGAGUACUGCUUCGUAAAGGGAAAGAAAGAGAGAUAAUUGCUGUAUCUGAUUUAGAUAGCAUGUCACAGCAUCACAAUAUAACAUCUUCAGCUAAAGAAAUUCUUGGUGCAACAGUUUUGAAGCAGAAUCAGAGGCAUGAAGGUAGCGGAAGGAUUAUCAGAAGUAUACUCUCAAAAAAGGAGUUGCGUCAAAGCCAAUCUUCCAGGGCACUCUCUGAGCAGCAAAUCCAAAAAUCUAAUCUAGGAAAAGAAAAACAAUCCCCUCGGCCCAUACACGUGCAACUAAUUCUGAAGGGCAUGAAUGGUACAUCAGAGAAUAAGAUUGGUGUGCAUGAUUCACAUGUAUCUAGCGAGAGGCAGGAUAGGCAUACUAGGCAUAAAGAUAGACCAGAUCGUGGUGUUUGGACAAGUUCCAAUGGAGCUGAUGAGUCUUUCUCAUCUGCUGCUUCCUCACAAGUAGAUCCUUUCGAAGGAAGAAGUGCAGAUUUGAAACAUGACAUGCCAAAUGCAAGAAGUGGGGAGGUAAAAUCUCUUGGAGGUGUCCGUACCAGUCAUUCAUCAGAAAAUGGCUUCAAGCAUUUUGGUCGCCGCGGACCAACACAUGGGGUAAAGGAUGUUGAUAGCUAUUCAGUUUCAAGUGAAGGGAAGCAUCCUAGAAGAUCUGGUACCACUGCUUAUGGUUCCAACGAGAAACAAGUUUGGGUUCAAAAAGCAAGUUCUGGUACCUAGAGUAUUUUUUAUUGGUCAGGGGUUGAAUUCAAGAAAAGCCUCUUUAUAUAUGCAUGGGGUAAGGCUGUGUACAAUGAUCCUUCCCUGUACCUUCGCAUAGCAAAGAGUCUUCAGGAACAGGGUGGGUCCUUCGCUUUGGGACCUUCCCUGGAAGAUGCAAAUAUUUUAAAUGAUUGGAAUAUGUUGUUUCCUAACCCAAAAUUGGUAAGCUUGCUGACAUACAGAUUUGGAGCAUCCAUUUGCUAGCUGCUGGAUUCUGUCCCUUUUUAGUUGACAGAUUCUUACAAGUAAACGAGUGUGUGGUUAAAAAAAUUCUUUUACAAUACAAGAGAGGAGAGUACCAUGAUGCAUUUGAUUUGGCUAAAAAUAUUCAGACAUUACUUCAUUGAAGAUGGCUCCUAGUAAAAGCGAGAUGAGAACAAUGGCCUGGUGUCCCAGUUACUAGUUGCUUGUUUGAAGAAAUAUGGAGAUUUGCCAACCGUGGCAAGUUGACCUAGAUGACCAUAGUCUGGGUUUAUACACAGUUAAUCUUUGAGUGGAUUUAGUGUAAAUAUAAAUCCAGGGUAUUGUGUAUCUGUUUCCUUAGUUCCUAUAAGUACAAACCCCUAUUCGAGGUAAUGUGUACCUGUGUCCUUAGUUCCUAUAUCGAUUAGAAGUCCGCCAAAUACAAUUGGGUGCAAUUGGGCGCUUGAAAUGAUCCUGGAAAGUUUUUGGAUCAUCUUUGCUCACUACUUCGAAGCAACACUCCAUGGAUGACGUUUCAGCUUCGUGUAUUCGGUCUUUGUUGACAAUGAAGUUUCUUGUAGAGCUUAGACACUUAAAUACCAUUGAUGGUGUGUUACUAAGGAUAAAUAAGGGUAUUGAGGGAGUCAUAAGUGUGUGGAUAUUGAUUUACGUCUAAAAUAUCAUUGUACAGUAUGGUGUUGCAUUUCUCAGCAUAACUCAGCUGUGACAUAUUACCGGCUCUUGAUUAUAUUGUCAAUUAUGUGAAUUGCUGCCUUCAGCGCAAAUGUUUAAUUAUAAUACGCUGUUAAAGUUACGUCCAA